GACGAACGCUGGCGGCGUGCUUAACACAUGCAAGUCGAACGGAAAGGCUCCAGCUUGCUGGUGUACUCGAGUGGCGAACGGGUGAGUAACACGUGGGUGAUCUGCCCUGCACUUCGGGAUAAGCCUGGGAAACUGGGUCUAAUACCGGAUAGGACCGCACUUUGGUGUGUGUGGUGGAAAGGUUUUUCUGGUGUGGGAUGAGCUCGCGGCCUAUCAGUUUGUUGGUGGGGUAAUGGCCUACCACGACGGCGACGGGUAGCCGGCCUGGGAGGGUGGACGGUCACAUUGGGACUGAGAUACGGCCCAGACUCCUACGGGAGGCAGAAGUGGGGAAUAUUGCACAAGGGGGGAAGCCCUGAUGCAGCGACGCCGCGUGGGGGAUGAAGGCCUUCGGGUUGUAAACACCUUUCGCUAGGGACGAAGCUUUUUGUGACGGUACCUGGAGAAGAAGCACCGGCUAACUACGUG
rnacentral:rRNA from 1 species